AUGAACGCUGGCGGCGUGCCUAAUACAUGCAAGUCGAGCGAACAGACGAGGAGCUUGCUCCUCUGACGUUAGCGGCGGACGGGUGAGUAACACGUGGAUAACCUACCUAUAAGACUGGGAUAACUUCGGGAAACCGGAGCUAAUACCGGAUAAUAUAUUGAACCGCAUGGUUCAAUAGUGAAAGACGGUUUUGCUGUCACUUAUAGAUGGAUCCGCGCCGCAUUAGCUAGUUGGUAAGGUAACGGCUUACCAAGGCAACGAUGCGUAGCCGACCUGAGAGGGUGAUUGGCCCAAAUGGAAACUAGACCACGUCCAGACUUCUAAGGGAGGGAGCAGUAGGGAAUCUUUCGGAAUGGGCGAAAGCCUGACGGAGCAACGCCGCGUGAGUGAUGAAGGUCUUCGGAUCGUAAAACUCUGUUAUUAGGGAAGAACAAAUGUGUAAGUAACUAUGCACGUCUUGACGGUACCUAAUCAGAAAGCCACGGCUAACUACGUG
rnacentral:rRNA from 1 species